rnacentral:rRNA from 1 species
AUGCUCCGUCAAAGCAACGAGCAUGUCGUCGUGACUGGUAUCACACCGGGGUCAUUUUACGAGCGCCUCUAUACUAGUGACUCUUUGCAUCUUGUCUGCUCUUCAAACAGUUUGCAUUGGCUCUCAAAGGCUCCUGAAGAUCUAUUCAGGAAUCUCAUCCCAGCAUACGACAUGGACAAGGAUGCUAGGCGUCAAAGACACCGUUUAGUGCUUGAGGCUUAUGCAAAACAGUUUAGAAAAGAUUUCACAAAUUUCCUGAAGCUGAGAGCCAAAGAAUUGGUCUCAAAAGGCCGAAUGGUUGUUUCCCUAGUAGUGAGGCGUUCUGAUGUAACCGCCACCAAAUUCUCUUACCUUUCAAGGACUAUAUCUCAGAUUCUAAGUGUCAUGGUCUCAGAGGGUGUGAUCGACAAAGAAAAGUUCGAUUCUUUUUAUGUGCCAGUGUAUGAACCUUCUAGUAAAGAGGUGAGAGAGACCAUUGAAGAAGAGGGCUCCUUUUCAAUCAAGGAGAUGCAAGUGCAUGACCCUACAACCGAUAUGAACAAUGCUCUCAGCACCCCAAGCAAGUUCGUCAACCUCUUGAGAGCUUUAUGUGAGCCGAUAUUAGUCCAACAUUUUGGAGAUGUCAUGUAUGAAUUUGUGAGCGCCGCGGAGCGUCACUGGAGCCUGGAGGGCAACUUGUUAGGUCCUUAUGCUAUGUUGGCCAUAUCCCUUGCAAAGGCAUGA